rnacentral:lncRNA from 1 species
AUGGGAUGGGAUUUUGAGAUUUUUCCAAGGGGUUUUUCUCGGAAUUCCCAGAUUUCCGAGUUUGUUUUUUUUUCCUGGAAUUCCAAGGGGUUUUUCCCGGAAUUCCCAGAAUCCCAACGCCUUUUCCAGGGUGCAGAUCCGGGACCGGGAGAUCAAGGUGAACAUCUUCGACAUGGCCGGGCACCCCUUCUUCUACGAGGUGCGGAACGAGUUCUACAAGGACACGCAGGGGGUGCUGCUGGUGUACGACGUGGGCUCCAAGGAAUCCUUCG